ACCAACAUAUGUGUGUUUUACAAAAAUCAGCAUUUAAUUUUGACGAUGGAUUUAUGGAUUGGCUAUGGCUCUGCUGGACUCGGGUGGAUGGACUGAGCUUGUAGGCUGCAGGUUGCAUUCAGAUUAAUCCAUAAAUCAUCUACUUCGGCUUCAACAGUUACUUGGGGAGCACCUGUGGGCAUCUUUCCUCAACGCCCGGACUACAAAUCUCUAACACGAGUUGUUGGCUGAGGACAGAUUCUCAUGGCCGGAAACCACCACUUCCCUUGGACAUGCAUGCGUUGGCUGGGUACUGGGAGCCAUAAUUCGUUUCCUCUUAGAGCUUUAGGGGCUGCUUUCUGGCUUUAAAAAUAUUGCACUGGAAUAGAACCAAGGAUCAAAUAUCUGGGACAUGAUAUCUUGAGUAAAACAGGAAAUGUCUGCUACAGAGACAAACUGAAGUUUGUGUAUAUCGUGCUGAUUCAGAAGAGAAUGAAGGCAUUUGUCAAGAGAUAAUGUCAGACUAAUCAGACAUGUUCCAAUCGAUUAAUGCAUUUGGAGGAUUUCCAAAUAUUUGCUGAUCUAAGGACGGUGAGGUAUAUGAUGGGAAACAAAUCUGAGAAAAGAAGGAUGGUAGAUGCUUUCCCAUUGUGACCUGUGAUCAUUUUGGGUAUACAACACAGUUUUCCGCAGACAGAAUGCUGUGUUUCUUACUUUUAGCUUUAGAGCUGUAUAUUCAACAAUUCUGUGUCAUGGAAGAACCUAGCUGAGGCAAAAAAAAGAAAAAGGUAAUUUUCUUCUUCCAUUUACACGUAAAAUGUUUAUUUGAAGAAUAAGAAAUAAGCAAAGAGACAGGAGAAGGAAAUUGUGUUUCUUUCAGCAAGUAAAAAGAAAGGCAAAACCCAAAAUAAAUAAUAUGUAAUUAUUUUUUAUCUGACUAUUUUUUGGCAUUUGUUUCUGCAUUUCUAAAUAAUGGAACUAUAAUACAUUUUCACUAUUGGUCAAUUUUAGGUAUCAUUUACUUACUACCUAUAAUAAAAGUUAAAAUUGUAGCUAUGAAAGGACCCCUUUAAUGCUAAAAAUAUCACAGGAAAUAUUUGCAUUACCUAAGUCAAUACGUAAGUCAGCCAGGAAGAACAUUUACAAGACAAAGUUGAUCAUGAUACUCUCUUGUAAGUGAAGAUGCUAUUAUUUUAUAACCUAGAUGUGAGGAUCUGAAAGUUGUUAAAUAAAGGCUCCAUAUGAGCUCUUGUACUCUGUAAAAUGUCCUCUUAAGUUAGCUUUAGCUAAACUAACAUACUGCCAGGGAACAGUGUUAAUGUGUUUAAUUACCAAGCUCUUUCCAAGAAAGCCUUGUCACUUGUUCACUGGUCUUAUUGCCACUUUCUGUCUUCACUCUACUUCUACCUUUCCACAAACACAUCAGUACAGAUAUUUGCAUGUUUUGCACUUCUCCACAGUUUGUACUAGUUUCUAGAAGAAAUUUUUUACUGUCAAUUAAGGCAAUGCUUUAUUCACAUGUGGCUGCCACUAGAGAAAUGUCUUAAAUUAACAAAGAAAUAAAUCCAUUAAAAAAAAUGUUUCUCUGUUGCCUGUGCCUUUUGUGAAACCCCAAUUCACAUGCUCACUAACUUUUAAAAUCAUAUAAAAUUUUAAGAGCAAAAGAAUUUUAUUACAGUGUGAUGCAGGGUUAACCGUUUUGAAAUGAUACUUAUACUGCCUAAAUUAUACCUGGUCAUCCAAGUAGAAACUAACAAUGAUUGGGUAAUAAACAGAUGGAAACCAGGUUGCUAAGGAAAAGGAACAGGAAAUGAACUCCCUAAUUAGAUAACAAAGGUUUUGUCUACAUAAUGCCAAAAUAACUAAUUUAAUAUUUUGAAUCAGUUAGAUUGGGUUUUAUCAUGUAAGCAAAACAGAGAACUGAUUCCCUGAUGCUUUCGUUCUAUCUUCAGUUGUUUGUGGCAUUAUAGAGACAACACUUACGUAUGUUUCAAGCUACUUUACCUUUGUAUUUCAGGCCACAUUUCCUAGGGAGACUGUCUAAGGGAAAAUGAUUUUCUCUUUAGUUAUGAGACAAAGCCUAUACCUACAAAUUAGUUUGAUCACUUUGGUUGAGUUUACUAGUAAAGAGCCCUCCUAAAUAGUUUACAUGAUAUGUGUCUACACGUGUGUAUCUGAUUUGCCAAAAUUGAAAUAUUUUGUACAUGGCAAAUACGUUCUUUAAAUGUGUAAGCAAAUAGGUUUAUUUUAGUCAACAAUUGAUGACAGGAUAGAAAAAUAACCAGAAAUGUGGAUCCAGCUCUUAUCAUAGAAAAUUUGUACUCCUGUAGAUUCCAUGACAUCCUCACCUCCUGGUUUAUCUUUGACCUUUCUUUUGGAAUUUCUAAGGGUAGGCAUUGAAGUCUUCCAUUAGUCCUUGAAAACUCAGUCAUUACUCCUUUAAGUAUUGUCUCCCCUUUAUUAUCUCUCUCUCUCUCUCCUUCUGGGACUCCGAUUAGUUACAUACUAGGCCUCCCGACAUGUUCUCCCAGUCUCUUAGCCUCUUUCUCAUAUUUUCUAUCUCCUUAUCCCUCUAUGCUACAUUCUGAUUAAUUUCCUCAGAUGUAUCUUCGAGGUAAUUAGUUUUUUUUUCAUCCAUAUUGGUUGAAUCUACCAUUAAAUCUAUUUAUUCAGGAUUAUUUAUAAUUUUUAGUUUUUAUUUUUAUCUAAUUAAUAAGUGUGAAUUAAAAAAUCAAAUGAUUCUACAAACUAUGCAAUUCUUAGAACCUCUCUC
rnacentral:lncRNA from 1 species